rnacentral:rRNA from 1 species
UACGAAGGGGGCUAGCGUUGUUCGGAAUCACUGGGCGUAAAGCGCACGUAGGCGGAUCUUUAAGUCAGAGGUGAAAUCCCAAGGCUCAACCUUGGAACUGCCUUUGAUACUGGGGAUCUUGAGUCCGGGAGAGGUGAGUGGAACUGCGAGUGUAGAGGUGAAAUUCGUAGAUAUUCGCAAGAACACCAGUGGCGAAGGCGGCUCACUGGCCCGGUACUGACGCUGAGGAGCGAAAGCGUGGGGAGCAAACAGG